UACGUAGGGUCGCAGCGUUGUCCGGAUGUCUGGGCGUAAAGAGCUUGUAGGCGGUUUGUCGCGUCUGCCGUGAAAAUUCGAGGCUCAACCUCGAACUUGCGGUGGGUACGGGCAGACUAGAGUGUGGUAGGGGAGACUGGAAUUCCUGGUGUAGCGGUGAAAUGCGCAGAUAUCAGGAGGAACACCGAUGGCGAAGGCGGAUCUGCUGGCUUACCUGACGCUCAGGCAGCGAAAGCUAGGGGAGCGAACCAGG
rnacentral:rRNA from 1 species